AACGAACGCUGGCGGCAGGCUUAACACAUGCAAGUCGAGCGCCCCGCAAGGGGAGCGGCAGACGGGUGAGUAACGCGUGGGAAUCUACCCAUCUCUACGGAAUAACGCAUGGAAACGUGUGCUAAUACCGUAUACGUCUUUCGGGAGAAAGAUUUAUCGGAGAUGGAUGAGCCCGCGUUGGAUUAGCUAGUUGGUGGGGUAAAGGCCUAUCAAGGCGACGAUCCAUAGCUGGUCUGAGAGGAUGAUCAGCCACACUGGGACUGAGACACGGCCCAGACUCCCACGGGAGGCAGCAGUGGGGAAUAUUGGACAAUGGGCGCAAGCCUGAUCCAGCCAUGCCGCGUGAGUGAUGAAGGCCCUAGGGUUGUAAAGCUCUUUCACCGGUGAAGAUAAUGACGGUAACCGGAGAAGAAGCCCCGGCUAACUUCGUGCCAGCAGCCGCAGUAAGAC
rnacentral:rRNA from 1 species